rnacentral:rRNA from 1 species
GACGAACGCUGGCGGCGUGCUUAACACAUGCAAGUCGAACGGAAAGGCCCUGCUUUUGUGGGGUUCUCGAGUGGCGAACGGGUGAGUAACACGUGAGUAACCUGCCCUUGACUUUGGGAUAACUUCAGGAAACUGGGGCUAAUACCGGAUAUGAGCUCCUGCUGCAUGGUGGGGGUUGGAAAGUUUCGGCGGUUGGGGAUGGACUCGCGGCUUAUCAGCUUGUUGGUGGGGUAGUGGCUUACGAAGGCUUUGACGGGUAGCCGGCCUGAGAGGGGGACCGGCGACAUGGGGACUGAGAUACGGAGCAGACUCCUACGGGAGGCAGCAGGGGGGAAUAUGGCACAAUGGGGGGAAGCCUGAUGCAGCAACGCCGGGUGCGGGAUGACGGGCUACGGGUUGUAAACCGAUUUCGAAGGUGACGAAGAGUGAGUGACGGUAAUGGGUAAAGAAGCACCGGCUAACUACGUG